rnacentral:rRNA from 1 species
GAUCAUGGCUCAGGAUGAACGCUGGCGGCGUGCUUAACACAUGCAAGUCGAACGAAGCAAUUUGGCGGAAGUUUUCGGAUGGAAGCUAGAUUGACUGAGUGGCGGACGGGUGAGUAACGCGUGGGUAACCUGCCUCACACUGGGGGACAACAGUUAGAAAUGACUGCUAAUACCGCAUAAGCGCACAGGACCGCAUGGUCCAGUGUGAAAAACUCCGGUGGUGUGAGAUGGACCCG